UUCAUACUCCCUCCGUUCGGAAUUACUCAUCUCGGAAAUGGAUGUAUCUAGAACUAAAAAUACGUCUAGAUACAUCCAUUUCCGAGACAAGUAAUUCCGAACGGAGGGAGUACUUU
rfam:Triticum aestivum genome assembly, contig: Triticum_aestivum_CS42_TGACv1_scaffold_433816_5DL